rnacentral:sRNA from 12 species
UGUCGCCCGUUUCGUGAUGGUCACGGCCACCAUGACUGUGCGAAAUCUUGAUCUGGUCGCGCCGCUGGCCCACGAGGCCACCGCCAUGCGCACUUCGGAGACCGCCGGCAGCAGCCGGGUCCGGUCCGGCGCAGUUUCCCCGCUGAUCGGCCAAGACCUUCGGCGAGGCGACGUAGAUAGCGCGAUCGGUCG